AUGGCGUUCACCUGCAAGCGGCCCGCCGCGUCCCUCGACGGCCACGCCAGCCGGCCAGGCGCGAUGUGCCGGAAGAGGAGGCGCGUCAUCGGGACCACCUAUGACUAUGACCAGGAGUCGUGCCUCAGCAGAGGCAAGUUCGGCGCCGUCGUCAAGGCGCGGUGCCGCGCCACCGGCCAGCUCGUCGCCAUCAAGUCCCUCCACGACCCCGCCGACCCCCGCGAGGUGCUGCGGGAGGCCCGCUUCCUCGAGGCGUGCGGCGGCCACCCGCACAUCGUCGGCUUCUGCGGUGUCACGCUCGACUACGUAACCGACGAGCUCUGCCUCGUCAUGGACUACGUCGAGGGCAAGAGCCUCAAAGUUCUCCUGAGCGAGAGGAGCGGCGGGCUCCCGGAGGCCACGGUGUGCACCUUCAUGUGGCAACUGCUCACGGCCGCCAAGAAGAUGCACGGGUGCCACAUCGUCCACUGCGACAUCAAUCCUGCUAACAUCCUCGUCGGAGGGGAAGGGGCCGGAAGAGGGUUCGUCAAGAUCUGCGACCUCGGCGUCGCCAUGUCCAUGUCGGAGGCGCCGCCGUACGAGGAGGAGGCUGGCAUGGGGGAGUACCGGGCACCCGAGAUGCUGCUGGGAAAAGAGGACUACGACGCGCUCGUCGACACAUGGUCUCUUGGGUGA
rnacentral:rRNA from 1 species